rnacentral:lncRNA from 1 species
UAUUUAUUCUUUCCAUGCCAGCAACAUAAUCAUACUGUCAGCUGUUGGGGUGAUUGCCCAACAGACAGGUCUAUCCCCACAAACCAUGAGUCCUGAGCAGCCUGCCUCCGCCAUCAGCUCCCAACAGGCUGCAACUCCCCAAGCCUCCUCGGCAACUUCACCACUUCUGCCUGCGCUGGCCAGGACUCCCGCCACCGCGAUGACGACUUCCCUUCACGCCUCCUGCCGUCAUCGCGCCCCCCGCCGACAGCGCAGCCUCAAUCCCACCCUGCAAACCCGUGUUCAGGAUGUCUAACCCUAUUUCAUUUAAGUGGACCCCAUCCUUUCUCAUCAAGUUCUGGUUCUCUCCUUCCAGCUCCACGUGUCGGAUGACCACCCCUCCUAGCCGCCGUACAAAUUUCCCCACUGCGAUGUUCAGCUUGCGCCGGCUCUUCUCCAAACCGCGAGAGUGUGGAAGCGCGUGCCAGCACGGCCUGGAAACCACCUCCGACCAAACCAAGGUCAUGUCUGGAAAGAGCGCCAUGCACCUCGCCAAGUCGUGCCGAAUCGCGUGGAGAAGGUCCACAGUCCUGGAUACCCCUAAGUCGUUACCGCCCGCGUGGACCACCGCCACCACCGGCCCUGACACAAACUUACGCAGGGCCACGAACUCUGGAUAAAUUUGCUGCCACCGGAGGCCCCUAAUGCCCUUCCACCUGACUCUGGCCACGUCCAACGAAAGCCCCAAAUUCCGUCCAUAGGCCCGGCCUUCAGCUCGCCUAGCUGCCCAGGACACAUAGGAAUGCCCUAUAAUCCACACGUACCGGGGCCGACCACCUACAACGAGAAGAGGGUUACAGCAUAUGAGGUCGGACAUAAGACUUAAAACGCCCCGACCCCCAUCUUCCAAUCCGUUGAAUUCCCGCAGCCGAGUACCCCAAUACACUCGCCUGGGUAGCCGCCCCGAUCCGAAAGGAAUGGGCCGAAAACCCGUGACCAUCCAUGCCACUC